rnacentral:rRNA from 1 species
UGGGGAAUCUUGGACAAUGGGGGCAACCCUGAUCCAGCCAUGCCGCGUGAGUGAUGAAGGCCUUAGGGUCGUAAAGCUCUUUCGCCUGUGAAGAUAAUGACGGUAGCAGGUAAAGAAACCCCGGCUAACUCCGUGCCAGCAGCCGCGGUAAUACGGAGGGGGUUAGCGUUGUUCGGAAUUACUGGGCGUAAAGCGCACGUAGGCGGACCAGAAAGUUGGGGGUGAAAUCCCGGGGGCUCAACCCCGGAACUGCCUCCAAAACUAUUGGUCUAGAGUUCGAGAGAGGUGAGUGGAAUUCCAAGUGUAGAGGUGAAAUUCGUAGAUAUUUGGAGGAACACCAGUGGCGAAGGCGGCUCACUGGCUCGAUACUGACGCUGAGGUGCGAAAAGUGUGGGGAGCAAACAGGAUUAG